CAGACGUGGAGUCUGCGGCUCAAUUUGACUCAACGCGAACACCUUACCAGGCCCAGACGUACGGAGGAUCGACGGUUGAGAGGACCUUCGUGAUCGUACGAGUGGUGGUGCAUGGCCGUUCACAGCCCGUGGCUUGAGCCGUCUGCUUGACUGCGACAACGAGCGAGACCCUAACCUGGAUGGGACCGCCAAUGGUGAAUUGGAGGAAGGGGGGCGAUAACAGGUCUGUGAUGCCCUUAGACGCCCUGGGCUGCACGCGUACUACACUGUGGGGAUGAAACCACGUCGAGUUGUGAAGCUUGAUGAGAUCAAACCCCCACGUGGUUGGGAUCGUGGACUGGAACGUCCUCGUGAACCUGGAAUGUCUAGUAGGCGUAGGUCAUCAAUCUACGCCGGAUACGUCCCUGCCCCUUGUACACACCGCCCGUCGCUCCUACCGACUGGGUCUUCUGGCGAGCUCCUGGGAGGGAUGAACCGAACAGGGACGAACCGCGAGGCUUGGAGGAAGGAGAAGUCGUAACAAGGUAUCCGUAGGUGAACCUGCGGAUGGAUCCAUC
rnacentral:rRNA from 1 species